GAGAGGCAUUUCCAGGAAGGAAGAAGAGAAGAAGGAGGAAGAUGUUUGGUUUGCUGGGCAGCUUGUUCUUCCCCAUAGUGCAGAGCAGGUCGUGGUUUUGGGUGGAAAGCUUUCAUCACAUCGGCCAGGGUCCCCCAUUCUGCCUGUGCCACAAGAUGUCACUGAUGUCAAGAUGUCACUGAUUGACCUGUCCAAGGGAUGAUUCUACAGGAACAAAACCUGAGAGCAUCUUCACAUCAACAAUAGCCAUAUUGGAGACUUUACGCUUUCCUGUGUAACUAAAAUGAGAAAAGUUCUGUUAGUCUGGUCUGCAAAUGGAAAGGAGAUCAGUGAAUAACAUUUUCAGCUUCCAACAAUCCUGUUUUUCUUCCUAUAGCUGCACAGCAGCAAAUUACUUGUAUUUAAAUCCUUCCUUGCAUGCUUUACAAAACUGUGAAUGCAAGAGGGUAGAUCAAUGAAAGAAAGUUACCUGGCGAAGAGGACAAGGUCAAACUUUGGUGGAGAGUUGCUUGUGCAGGAUACAUUCGCUGUCCUUACGGAGAGAGAAAAUCCUGCAACUUUAUUUGGCAAAUGGAUGUUGUAUCUCAGAGUGGUCUAAAAGAGAUGGAAAGUGUGAGAUGGUAACAGACUUAAAGGGUUUUGUGUCUUUGGCAUGACAUAUGCAGAGGAAAAAAGUAUGGAGAACCCCAUGCUUAUAUCUUAGAGAGGUCGUGCUGAGUUUCCAGCUUGCUUACCUGCAGAUA